UACGGGGGGAGCAAGCGUUGUUCGGAUUACUGGCGUAAAGGGCGCGUAGGCGGCCAGUGCAAGUCAAUUGUGAAAUCAUCCGAGCUUAACUCGGAAAGGUCAACUGAUACUGCUCGGCUAGAGUGCGGAAGGGGCAACUGGAAUUCUUGGUGUAGCGGUGAAAUGCGUAGAUAUCAAGAGGAACACCGGUGGCGAAGGCGGGUCUCUGGGCCGAUACUGACGCUGAGGAGCGAAAGCGUGGGGAGCGAACAGG
rnacentral:rRNA from 1 species